AAAGCAAUCAGACAUAUAUUAUCAUAUAGUAUAGCAUAGUAUAUCAUGUGAAUUUUGGUAUACGCCACUGACCACAGGCCACUGACAUCAUGCGUGCUGGGGUGUUUUGUGUAUUAGGUUAACAUCUCUGGCCACCGUUAAUGUGUCCGUCAGGGUGAACGAUGUCCUUUUCCUCACUACCUUGUCUGUAUAUGGGAACUGUUGAGGUUGCUUUAUAAUAUAAAGUUUGCCGCCUAAAAUAGCUACAUCUGUGUCAUCACUCUGAGAGGAAUCCAGGACACUAUUGUAGUUUUCUAAAUGCAUUUAUAUUUCAAUUGUAAAGUAUUGGUAAGUGAUAUAUGAAAUGCACUUCUGAUACAUUCAUGUGUGUUGCUUUAUAAGUGUAAUAAGCUAUAAAAAGACAACAAAUCCUAUACAUUUGAGGAUAAUUUAGUUUCUUAACAAAUGUUCCAUAUCCAGUUUUAUAGUUUGUUAGAGGGAUGGCUUGAUAUGCAGGUAUGACAUUUGAAUCAUGGGAAUACAUCUUCAAAACACACUUCAUGAUCCAAUGCGCAGCCCGCUUUCAGAAAGCCAAGUCUGCCCUCUAGUGGUCAUGUGCAAGACACUGGAUUACACAGUGAGUAGAACAGUCGCCCAGCCAGGACGCACAGGAUGUUACCUUUACAUGUCUUGGUAGACCAUAAGAACAUAGACGAAACAUAGCCCAUUUAUACAAAUCAUUUUAUUUAUUGACUUACUGACAAUAUGGAAAUGGGAAGUGAUAAGAGUGGGAGGGGAAAAAACUGUUUUGGUGUGGUUAGUCAAGGCACUUAAGGGACCAACGUCUGAGAAUUGUAAUGAUCUCUCAAGUGGCUCAUCAGAGAGUUCAGCCUGUCAUACGAUAACAAGCAGGCCAAACGCGCGGACACAGAAAUAGUGGCAGUAGCAAAAAACCCUAAAUGAGGUCAGCGAGACGUUACGUGACAGAGGGGAAAAUACUACAACACAGCCUGGUCAUUAGGUUACCACUGACUUCAAUAUUCUAUACUUUUGAAGUGGAAUGGAUGGGAGGGCAGAGUCAGUGUGUGUGUCAGUGUGUGUGUGUGUCUGUGUCUGUGUGUGUGUGUGUUUGUGUGUGUGUGUGUCUACAGGAGGGUGUCUGUCCACCAGCACAUACAGUGGUGCAAAUCCUGAGAAAGCUGGAACAUACACUGGAUGUAAAAUGUGCUGCUCUUUCUAUUGUAUGGCUUUUUUUGUCUUGAAUGAGCAGGUUAAGUGAGAGGUGAUACAAUGCAAAUCCGCCUAGGCAGCUAUGUGUCUACCUGCACUUACUAGCUAACGAGCUGCAAUUACAAUUAUAAACAAAGGUUUUGUAAUUAUGUGUUGAGAGCUAUAGACUUCCAUUAGGCAUUCUUCGCAUAGUCAAGUAUUAUCAGUGUAACAACCGGGCGUAGGUUUACAUACAUGAGUGUGUAUCUCUCUUUGGCAGAGUACUUUGGAUGACUUCAGAGUCCAACACUGGAAAAACAGGGAGAGUAGGAAGCAAUGGGCUGUGGCUAUAAACAUUUAGCAAGUGACAGUUACUGUUGCAACAUUAAACACAGCUGAGACCCUCUGGAGCCGUGUGAGUAACACACACCUAUGGCUACCAGCUACACACACAAACACACACUCAGACACACACACACAAGGCCACAGGAGACCAGCAACAUGCCCUAUCACCCUGCCAAACACGAGCGUGUGUACAUUUUGCACAAACAAAAACAUGUUUUGUUGGCACCCCUACUCUCUGUUCCCAGCAUGGCCCAGCACCAACAGGUGAGGCUGUAGACAUGAUGGCCGGCAAGCACCGCGCAUGCACCCAACAGCACACAGAGCCGAACGCUAGCUGCUGAUUCACCACCACCACCAACCAGUCUGUAGACAGUCAGUGAGGGAACGGGGAUGGGGACGGGGACGGG
ensembl:lncRNA